AUGGAGCCGACCUUGAAAUACCACCCUUUAAUGUUUGAUGUUCUAACGUUGACCCGUAAUCCGGGUUGCGGACAGUGUCUGGUGGGUAGUUUGACUGGGGCGGUCUCCUCCUAAAGAGUAACGGAGGAGCACGAAGGUUGGCUAAUCCUGGUCGGACAUCAGGAGGUUAGUGCAAUGGCAUAAGCCAGCUUGACUGCGAGCGUGACGGCGCGAGCAGGUGCGAAAGCAGGUCAUAGUGAUCCGGUGGUUCUGAAUGGAAGGGCCAUCGCUCAACGGAUAAAAGGUACUCCGGGGAUAACAGGCUGAUACCGCCCAAGAGUUCAUAUCGACGGCGGUGUUUGGCACCUCGAUGUCGGCUCAUCACAUCCUGGGGCUGAAGUAGGUCCCAAGGGUAUGGCUGUUCGCCAUUUAAAGUGGUACGCGAGCUGGGUUUAGAACGUCGUGAGACAGUUCGGUCCCUAUCUGCCGUGGGCGCUGGAGAACUGAGGGGGGCUGCUCCUAGUACGAGAGGACCGGAGUGGACGCAUCACUGGUGUUCGGGUUGUCAUGCCAAUGGCACUGCCCGGUAGCUAAAUGCGGAAGAGAUAAGUGCUGAAAGCAUCUAAGCACGAAACUUGCCCCGAGAUGAGUUCUCCCUGACUCCUUGAGAGUCCUGAAGGAACGUUGAAGACGACGACGUUGAUAGGCCGGGUGUGUAAGCGCAGCGAUGCGUUGAGCUAACCGGUACUAAUGAACCGUGAGGCUUAACCUUACA
rnacentral:rRNA from 1 species